CUUUCCACGCGGCGUCGGCUGCGGAGUCCCGAAGCUUCUCGACCCGCCGCCGACCUGUCGACUCCGCAGGGACACCAACUGAAAACCUCAGAACACUUAUCCACCUGUUCUUCGAUCACCACCAGCACGUCGAAUUCUCCGCCACUUUCUCCCGUCUCUGCCGCGCAGUUCCUCUUCGCCGCUGCAAUUUCCGGACACGAUGGGCAGGCGUAACAGCUGCACCAUUUAUGUGGGCAAUCUCCCUGGGGACAUCCGAGAGAGGGAGGUUGAGGAUCUCUUUUACAAGUAUGGCCGUAUCGUGGAUAUUGACUUGAAGAUUCCUCCAAGACCUCCUGGUUACGCUUUUGUUGAGUUUGAGGAUCCCCGUGACGCUGAUGAUGCAAUAUAUGGUCGUGAUGGGUAUACCUUUGAUGGCUACAGGUUGCGGGUGGAAUUAGCUCAUGGUGGAAGAGGUCAAUCGUACUCACACGAUCCCCCAAGAAGCUUUAGCAGUGGACGCCGUGGAGGUGUUUCUAGGCGCUCGGAGUACCGCGUUAUGGUGGAUGGUUUACCUUCGUCAGCGUCAUGGCAAGAUCUGAAGGACCACAUGCGACGGGCUGGUGAUGUCUGUUUUUCUGAUGUAUACCGGGAGGCUGGAGAAAUUGUUGGAAUUGUGGAUUAUACAAACUAUGAUGACAUGAAAUACGCGAUUAGGAAGCUUGAUGAUACAGAAUUCAGAAAUGCAUUUUCACGGGCAUAUAUCAGGGUGAGGGAGUAUAAUGCUAGAUCAAGAAGCAGAAGCCUUAGCGUCUCUUACUCAAGAAGUCGCAGCUAUAGCAGAUUAUCUUUGUUUUUCCUAGAUCUGGCCAUGCUGCGAUCUGGGGACUUCUUUCGUAGAUAAUUGGAUGUGUUGAGAUUUGGAACUAUGGAUAGUAGAGAUGGAUUAUCACCAAAUAUAUGGCGAGUGGCAACAAGUCCUAGGAGCAAGAUAGUCUUGACAAUCGCUGUCAAGAUCCCGAUCCCCAGUUUCUUCUGCCUCUCCUGGAAAAUCUGUGAGCAGAAGCCCUAGCAGGAGCAGGAACUUCUCUGGCUCUGCAUCUCCUGUGAGAUCAGAUUGAUCGUUGGCACUCCUAAGCAGUGAGCGACUGCUUUAGGAUAAGGGUACGCCCACUUCCCUGGAUAGUGAAACUGGGUUACCAGUUGCCACUGGUGUUUUUCAUCGUCUGCACAACAUCAUAUUUAUUGAACAGAUUAUUGCGCUUACCAUGCGUGUCUAGUUGUAAUGUGUUCUGUUGUCAGAUUAAGAGUUAUAUUCAGAGAGAUCUUUAUUUUGUGGCAGAGUUACAUAUAGGAGUAACAGUUAUGUGUUACAUUAUUAUUGAAAUACACUAAUAAACAAAAAGGCGCUCCCUAGGGCGA